rnacentral:rRNA from 1 species
UACGGGGGGGGCAAGCGUUGUUCGGAAUUACUGGGCGUAAAGGGCGCGUAGGCGGUCAGACCAAGUCGAGUGUGAAAUUCCAGGGCUUAACUCUGGCGCGCUCGCUCGAUACUGGUCGGCUAGAGUGUGGAAGAGGAUGCUGGAAUUCCCGGUGUAGCGGUGAAGUGCGUAGAUAUCGGGAGGAACACCAGUGGCGAAGGCGGGCAUCUGGGCCAACACUGACGCUGAGGCGCGAAAGCUAGGGGAGCAAACAGG